GGGGAUGUAGCUCAACUGGUAGAGCAUUUAUCUAUGCAUGAAAAAGGUAUGUGGUUCAACUCCUCGCAUCUCCA
rfam:Sorghum bicolor cultivar BTx623 chromosome 5, whole genome shotgun sequence.